UACGUAGGGCGCAAGCGUUGUCCGGAAUUAUUGGGCGUAAAGAGCUCGUAGGCGGCUUGUCGCGUCGACCGUGAAAACUUGGGGCUCAACCCCAAGCCUGCGGUCGAUACGGGCAGGCUCGAGUUCGGUAGGGGAGACUGGAAUUCCUGGUGUAGCGGUGAAAUGCGCAGAUAUCAGGAGGAACACCGGUGGCGAAGGCGGGUCUCUGGGCCGGUACUGACGCUGGAGACGCGAAAGCGUGGGGAGCGAACAGG
rnacentral:rRNA from 1 species